rnacentral:rRNA from 1 species
AGAGUUUGAUCCUGGCUCAGGACGAACGCUGGCGGCGUGCCUAACACAUGCAAGUCGAACGGAAGUUUUUCUUCGGAGAAACUUUAGUGGCGAACGGGUGAGUAACGCGUGAGGAACCUGCCUUUCAGUGGGGGACAACAGUUGGAAACGACUGCUAAUACCGCAUAAUGUUUUCGGACCGCAUGAUCUGGAAACCAAAGAUUUAUUGCUGAAAGAUGGCCUCGCGUCUGAUUAGCUAGUUGGUGAGGUAACGGCUCACCAAGGCGACGAUCAGUAGCCGGUCUGAGAGGAUGAACGGCCACAUUGGGACUGAGAUACGGCCCAGACUCCUACGGGAGGCAGCAGUGGGGAAUAUUGGGCAAUGGGGGAAACCCUGACCCAGCAACGCCGCGUGAAGGAAGAAGGCCUUCGGGUUGUAAACUUCUUUUAGCAGGGACGAAGAACGUGACGGUACCUGCAGAAAAAGCAACGGCUAACUACGUGCCAGCAGCCGCGGUAAUACGUAGGUUGCAAGCGUUGUCCGGAUUUACUGGGUGUAAAGGGCGUGUAGGCGGAGCUGCAAGUCAGAUGUGAAAUCCCGGGGCUCAACCCCGGAACUGCAUUUGAAACUGUAGCCCUUGAGUAUCGGAGAGGCAAGCGGAAUUCCUAGUGUAGCGGUGAAAUGCGUAGAUAUUAGGAGGAACACCAGUGGCGAAGGCGGCUUGCUGGACGACAACUGACGCUGAGGCGCGAAAGCGUGGGGAGCAAACAGGAUUAGAUACCCUGGUAGUCCACGCUGUAAACGAUGAAUACUAGGUGUGGGAGGACUGACCCCUUCCGUGCCGCAGUUAACACAAUAAGUAUUCCACCUGGGGAGUACGACCGCGAGGUUGAAACUCAAAGGAAUUGACGGGGACCCGCACAAGCGGUGGAACAUGUGGUUUAAUUCGAUGAUACGCGAGGAACCUUACCCGGGCUUGAAAGUUAGUGACUAUAGCAGAGAUGCUAUUUCCCUUCGGGGCACGAAACUAGGUGCUGCAUGGUUGUCGUCAGCUCGUGCUGUGAAGUGUCGGCUUAAGUGCCAUAACGAGCGCAACCCUUGCCGUUAGUUGCCAUCAGGUAAUGCUGGGGACUCUAGCGGGACUGCCACCGCAAGGUGUGAGGAAGGGGGGGAUGACGUCAAAUCAGCACGGCCCUUACGUCCGGGGCGACACACGUGUUACAAUGGUGGGUACAGAGGGAAGCUACCUGGCGACAGGAUGCAGAUCUCGAAAACCCAUCCCAGUUCGGAUUGGAGUCUGCAACCCGACUCCAUGAAGUUGGAUUCGCUAGUAAUCGCGCAUCAGCCAUGGCGCGGUGAAUACGUUCCCGGGCCUUGCACACACCGCCCGUCA